rnacentral:rRNA from 1 species
AGAACGAACGCUGGCGGCAUGCCUAACACAUGCAAGUCGAACGAGACCUUCGGGUCUAGUGGCGCACGGGUGCGUAACGCGUGGGAAUCUGCCCUUAGGUACGGAAUAACAGUGAGAAAUUACUGCUAAUACCGUAUGAUGUCUUCGGACCAAAGAUUUAUCGCCUAGGGAUGAGCCCGCGUUGGAUUAGCUAGUUGGUGGGGUAAAGGCCUACCAAGGCGACGAUCCAUAGCUGGUCUGAGAGGAUGAUCAGCCACACUGGGACUGAGACACGGCCCAGACUCCUACGGGAGGCAGCAGUGGGGAAUAUUGGACAAUGGGCGAAAGCCUGAUCCAGCAAUGCCGCGUGAGUGAAGAAGGCCUUCGGGUUGUAAAGCUCUUUUACCCGGGAAGAUAAUGACUGUACCGGAGAAUAAGCCCGGCUAACUCCGCGCCAGCAGCCGC